GUGUCGUGUCAUCCAGAGAGGCAGACAACAUAUGAAGCUCAUUAGCAUCAUCUACCUCAGAGUUGGUCCUCCAAAAGGCCGUGGUGUAGAUCCUGUUUUCUUCAACACAGUGGACUCUGCAGCAGAGGUACCUGACUCACAACAGGACCCUCUUACAGGCACAGAUCACAAAAUCAUCACAGUUGAGUCUGGACAGGACGUCACUCUGACAUGUCGAGCUCAAGCCCACAUUGUCAUAGUUGUAGAGUGGAGCAGAACUGACCUGGAAGAUGAAGAACUUGUCCUUUUAUAUCAGCAUGGACGACUUGUUCCAGAUUACCAGCAUCCAUCUUUUGAGAACCGGGUGGAUCUGAAGGACAGACAGAUAGCUGAUGGAGACGUGUCUUUGAUUCUGAAGAAUGUGAGACAAGAUGAUGCUGGAACAUACGAGUGUCGUGUCAUCCAGAGAGCUGGAAAACCUUUGAAGCUCAUCAGCAUCAUCAACCUGAGAGUUGGUUCUCCAACAGGCCGUGGUUCAUUCAACACAGUGGAUGAUGCAGCAGAGAUACCUGACUCAAAACAGGACACUCUUCCAGGGCCAGUGAAUAACACCUCUCCUCCAGCUACAGAUAUCUGUUGGUGUGCUUCAGUAUUUUCAUUCAGCAAACCAGCCUAUGAAAUGAAAGAAACAAAUCCUGACUGGGUUCCAACACUACACACGGGGCACUACGAAAUCCCUGCUUCAAACUACAUUCUACAUACCACCAUGCCAAUCAGAUUACUUCUUCCAUGUGUGGGUAAAAAGGUGACCCUCCUGGAUAAGAUGGCAAAGGUUUGCUGCGUUUUGGUGAACAUGUGCCCCAGUGUGGUAGUAAAACCAGGGAAAAAUGCUCUUGUUAAAUACUCUUAAGUCUUGUGCUGUUUAUGUAGUGAUAUGUUUUCAAAACAGACAGUAAAUUACAGAAUGCUAGUAGUAGGUGAUAUUAUUUAAAUGCUGUCAUGAUUUUAUGUAAACAUUUUAUGUAAACAUUUUGUGCAUUCAGCAUUCAACAGCAUUCCGAGGGAGACUGGGGACAUUGAGUCCGAAUGGACCAUGUUCAGCGUCUCCAUCGCCGAAGCUGCUGCAUUGAGCUGCGGCCGCAAGGUAGUUGGUGCCUGCCGUGGUGGUAAUCCCCGAACCAAAUGGUGGACACCAGAGGUGAAGGGAGCCACCAAGCUGAAGAAGGAGUCCUAUCGGGCUUGGUUAGCCUGUGGGACUCCGGAGGCAGCCGACAGGUAUCGACAGGCCAAGCGGAAUGCGGCUCGGGCAGUGGCUGAAGCAAAAACUCGGGUGUGGGAGGAGUUCGGAGAGGCCAUGGAAAAAGACUUUCGGACUGCCUCGAAGAGAUUCUGGCAAACCGUCAGGCGCCUCAG
ensembl:lncRNA